CCUCAUCAGAAGAGGAAGAGACAUCAGAAGCAGGUCUGCACAGAGGAGAAGCCAUGCUGGGAUACAAUGAGAGGGCAUCUGUCAGCAAGCCAAGGAGAGAAGCCUCAGGAGAAACCACAGCUAUCGACACCUUGAUUUUAGACUUCCAACCUCCAGAAAUGCUCUCCACAGCCAAAAAAUGAAUUAGAUAAAUGAACAAGUUCUGGGUAAGAUUCAAGUACAUACUUCAUUGGAGUACUUCAAAAUAAAGCAACACUGUCCUGGGCUAUGAAGGGAUACAAAAGUUAUAUAUGUUCCAACCCUCAAAGGAAAUAUUGUAUCCUUGCAUCAAUAAGGGAACCAGGAAUGGAACAAUGGAAAAUAUUGGAAGUUUAUAGUCCACCUUAGGAUAAAUUUGAAAGCAUAAAGCCACCUAUCAAUAAAGACAUAUGUACAACUGACUCCAUGAAAAAAUGUAGCUUUCUUUGAUUAGAUGCCUGACACUUUCUGAAGGACCUUGAGAAUUUUACUCAUUUAUGGAAAGAUAAUUUCCUACUAAUGAAACGUGGGAUUAAAAGUUGAAUCAAAGAAAAUUCAAUAGCUAAUUAUAAUCUGUGACAAUUGGGGUCUCUUAACCAGUGAGAUGAUCUGUAACUAACAGAAUUAUUGCUAGGAGACAGGGAAAAAGAAAUAUUUUUUUAAAAGAUUCAGGAAAAAAUAUUUAUCAAGUUUGGUGGAAAAUAUAUAGAUUUAUUAAUUCAUUUAUAAACAGCAUAAUAUCCAAUGUUAUGUUCUUAUUAAUUACGAGUUUUGGUGAGUCAUUUUGAAGAAUUUAAGAAUGUUUUAUAGAAGCUAGCUAAUUUUAUUUUGUUCCUUUUUAAAUAAAUUUUAAAAUGAAAUAAUAAGUCACAGGAGUUUUUCUCACAUGUAAAUCUCUAAGUCAGACUAUUG
rnacentral:lncRNA from 1 species